GAUUAACGCUGGCGGCGUGCGUAACACAUGCAAGUCGAACGAUGAAACUUAAAUGAUUUCUUCGGAAUGAACUUAGGUGGAUUAGUGGCGGACGGGUGAGUAACGCGUGAGUAACCUGCCUUACACAAGGGGAUAGCCGUUGGAAACGACGAAUAAUACCCUAUGAAACUAUCACUUCGCAUGAAGCGAUAGUCAAAGUGUUAGCGGUGUAAGAUGGACUUGCGUCUGAUUAGCUAGUUGGUGAGAAAAAAGCCCACCAAGGCAACGAUCAGUAGCCGGCUUGAGAGAGUGUACGGCCACAUUGGGACUGAGACACGGCCCAGACUCCUACGGGAGGCAGCAGUGGGGAAUUUUGCACAAUGGGGGAAACCCUGAUGCAGCGACGCCGCGUGAUUUAGAAGGCCUUCGGGUUGUAAAAAUCUUUUGUAUAGGAAGAAAAUGACAGUACUAUACGAAUAAGGUCCGGCUAAUUACGUG
rnacentral:rRNA from 1 species